rnacentral:rRNA from 1 species
UGACAGUACUCCUACGGGAGGCAGCAGUGGGGGAAUAUUGCACAAUGGGCGCAAGCCUGAUGCAGCAACGCCGUGUGAGUGAAGAAGGUUUUCGGAUCGUAAAACUCUGUCCUAAGGGAAGAAACAAAUGACGGUACCUUAGGAGGAAGCCCCCGGCUAACUACGUGCCAGCAGCCGCGGUAAUACGUAGGGGGCAAGCGUUAUCCGGAAUCACUGGGCGUAAAGGGGUGCGUAGGCGGCUUAGCAAGCCAGGGGUGAAAGGCAUUGGCUCAACCAAUGUAAGCCUUUGGAACUGUUAGGCUUGAGUGCAGGAGAGGUAAGUGGAAUUCCUAGUGUAGAGGUGAAAUUCGUAGAUAUUAGGAGGAACACCAGUGGCGAAGGCGACUUACUGGACUGUAACUGACGCUGAUGCACGAAAGCGUGGGUAGCGAACAGGAUUAGAUACCCUGGUAG